rnacentral:rRNA from 1 species
UACAGAGGUCUCAAGCGUUGUUCGGAUUCAUUGGGCGUAAAGGGUGUGUAGGUGGCGCCGUAAGUCGGGUGUGAAAUUUCGGAGCUUAACUCCGAAACUGCAUUCGAUACUGGCGGUGCUUGAGGACUGGAGAGGAGACUGGAAUUCAUGGUGUAGCAGUGAAAUGCGUAGAGAUCAUGAGGAAGACCAGUGGCGAAGGCGGGUCUCUGGACAGUUCCUGACACUGAGGCACGAAGGCCAGGGGAGCAAACGGG